rnacentral:misc_RNA from 1 species
UGGUAGUUGUCACAGAAUGAAAGAGUUUCUGAAACUUACUUGAAUCAGCUUCAAUUUCUCCCUUCAACUGGCGCCGCAAGGAUUCAGUUUGAAACUCGUGCAAGAUGUCCUCCACAUCAUAAGUCAAAUCUCUGUGGUCUUCAAGACAAAUCUUCACUGAACCAUUAGUGAGCUGCUUCUCCUCUGCACCUUCAAGCACAGCAUGGAUGUGGG